CAUACUAAAGGUCCAUUUUCAAUUUAUUGUAUUGGUCUAUUGUGUCCACCAACAUAUUAAAUGUCCAUUUCAAAUUUAUUGUAUUGGUCUAUUGUGUCCACCAACAUACUAAAUGUCCAUUUUCAAUUUAUUAUAAUGGUCUAUUGUGUCCACCAACAUACUAAAUGUCCAUUUUCAAUUUAUUAUAAUGGUCUAUUAUCCCUGUGUCCACCAACAUGCUAAAUGUCCAUUUUCAAUUUAUUAUAAUGGUCUAUUAUCCCUGUGUCCACCAACAUACUAAAGGUCCAUUUUCAAUUUAUUGUAUUGGUCUACUGUGUCCACCAACAUAUUAAAUGUCCAUUUUCAAUUUAUUAUAAUGGUCUAUUACCCUUCCACCAACAUACUAAAUGUCCAUUUUCAAUUUAUAAUAAUGGUCUAUUAUCCCUGUGUCCACCAACAUACUAAAGGUCCAUUUUCAAUUUAUUGUAUUGGUCUAUUGUGUCCACCAACAUAUUAAAUGUCCAUUUCAAAUUUAUUGUAUUGGUCUAUUGUGUCCACCAACAUACUAAAUGUCCAUUUUCAAUUUAUUAUAAUGGUCUAUUGUGUCCACCAACAUACUAAAUGUCCAUUUUCAAUUUAUUAUAAUGGUCUAUUAUCCCUGUGUCCACCAACAUACUAAAGGUCCAUUUUCAAUUUAUUGUAUUGGUCUAUUGUGUCCACCAACAUAUUAAAUGUCCAUUUCAAAUUUAUUGUAUUGGUCUAUUGUGUCCACCAACAUACUAAAUGUCCAUUUUCAAUUUAUUAUAAUGGUCUAUUGUGUCCACCAACAUACUAAAUGUCCAUUUUCAAUUUAUUAUAAUGGUCUAUUAUCCCUGUGUCCACCAACAUACUAAAGGUCCAUUUUCAAUUUAUUGUAUUGGUCUAUUGUGUCCACCAACAUAUUAAAUGUCCAUUUCAAAUUUAUUGUAUUG